rnacentral:rRNA from 1 species
AGAGUUUGAUCAUGGCUCAGGACGAACGCUGGCGGCGUGCCUAACACAUGCAAGCCGCACGGGACCCGCAAGCCGUGGCGGACGGGUGCGUAACACGUGAGGAACAUGCCUAUCGGCGGGGGAUAGCCGGCCCAACGGCCGGGUAAUACCGCGUACGCUCAUCGGGGGGCAUCCCCUGGUGAGGAAAGCAGCAAUGCGCCGAUAGAGUGCCUCGCGGCCUAUCAGCUAGUUGGUGAGGUAACGGCUCACCAAGGCAACGACGGGUAGCUGGUCUGAGAGGAUGAUCAGCCACAUUGGGACUGAGACACGGCCCAGACUCCUACGGGAGGCAGCAGUGGGGAAUCUUGCGCAAUGGCCGAAAGGCUGACGCAGCGACGCCGCGUGUGGGAUGACGGCCUUCGGGUUGUAAACCACUGUCGGAAGGGACGAAUGGCCCGCAAGGGCAGUGACGGUACCUUCAAAGGAAGCACCGGCUAACUCCGUGCCAGCAGCCGCGGUAAUACGGAGGGUGCGAGCGUUGUCCGGAAUCACUGGGCGUAAAGGGCGCGUAGGCGGCCCGGUAAGUAGGGGGUGAAAUCUUGCGGCUUAACCGCAAGGCUGCCUUCUAGACUGCCAGGCUCGAGCACAGUAGAGGCAGGUGGAAUUCCCGGUGUAGCGGUGGAAUGCGUAGAGAUCGGGAAGAACAUCAGCGGCGAAGGCGGCCUGCUGGACUGUACUGACGCUGAGGCGCGACAGCGUGGGGAGCAAACAGGAUUAGAUACCCUAGUAGUCC